CUUGAGCAUUUGAAACUUAUUUGAUCUGAUUUGCUUAAGUUUAUGAUUUUUUUCUGACAUUGAUGAAUAAUUUGUAUUGUGUGGAGGUAAUGAUGAUCAGAUUUAUGUGGAGUAAUUUUCUUGAACUUUAAUUUCUCAUCUUAUUUCACAAUGAUCAAUUUGUGACGCUCGAUGAAUGUUUGAAUAAAUUCAUGAAUAUAGUUUGUAGAAUUUCUCAUAAUAUCCACAACAAGAAAUCAAAUGUUUGGUGUUUGUUUGAAUGCAUAAAAUGUGGCUUUUUCAUGUUUUUGCAUAAGUUCGUCAAGCUUCAGUAUAAACUAUUUCCGGAAUUAAGUCUUGACAUUUUUUUUAUUGCUAAAUUGACAGAAUUAUGGAGAAUGAUAUAUUCAAGGAAUACUGGAGAACAAGAAAAAGAGUUCAGAUAUUUUAGUAUGCAUGUUUGAACUGGAGCCUUGCACUUUGUUUGCUCCUCAUGGUGAUGCUUGUCGAAGUAGAGAAACAUCAUCAAAUUCCAGUGAUGAAUAUGAUGACCAGGCUUCCUUUUCUUCUCCCCUGCUUUAGAAUGAGAAUAUUCAGUAGUAGAGAAUGCUGAC